ACUGUGUUGGCUGUGUGUCUGCUCACAGAAACACCAGCAUGUUUGGGUUCAUCCUGUGGUGCACAUGAAUUCAGUUGUGGUGUGUGAGAUGACAGCCAGGGGCCCGUGCUUGGGGUCUGAGUCAUUCUUCCUAUUUACAUGUGUGUGUCCUGUGGAGCAAAGUUCCCAGCAGGCAAGCUAAUAUUUAACAGGACAGUUUUGGGCGGCAUUGCUGGUCACCAAGCACGAGGAAGAGACAACAGUGUGCAACCGCCAAGCAGCCGCUGGUGAGACACAUGAGCACAUACACACACACACACACUGGGCUGAAGACGUUCUUGAUUCAAGCUUGACUUCAGCUGGAUUUUAUCCCGGAGUUGUUGGUUUCUUUCACGUCUGAGGUGUACGUUCCAGAAUGAGGUCCAGGGGAUUCCGGACGAUGGACAGACUGAAGUGAUCAGACAUGAACGUCCUCUCUUUCUGGAUGCUCCUGCUGUCCAGCAGCAUUGAAGCCACUAUGGCUCAGGUGACGCUGACACCUGAAACACUGACGGUCCUGCGGGGAGACGAGGCCCGGUUGACCUGCUGCAGCAGCAGCUCCCAGUGGACUGUGAUGGUGUGGCUACUGAACGCUGAGGUGGUUCUGACCAUCUCAAAUGAAAGUGGACUCCUGCCGUCCAUCAACCCCAAUGUGACAGCUGAGCAGAUCUCGCCGAACAGCUGGACCUUCAUUCUGAAGAACACCACCAGGCUCAACCAAGGACGAGUGACCUGUGACCUCCAGGGCAUCGACAGGAAAGCAGCAGAUCUGUUUGUGCAAGAAAAGGGACGUGUGCAAAUCUUUGGGGAGGACAAGUUGGCCUUUAGGGGUCACUCUGUGCUGUUCGAGUGCAAGGCUGCAGGCUGGUACCCCCAACCACAGAUACAGUGGCAGGUGAAGGGCAAACAGGUGAGCCAGAGUGACUACAACGUCACUGCUGGAGAAGCAGUCAACAGUGUCUUCACCGUGACCAGCAGCCUUCUCCUGACAGCGACGAUGACCUCUCGUGUGGACUGUUUGGCAUCUGUGUCCGCUCUGUCCCAGCCUCUGAAGAGUAGCGUGAGCCUCACAGUGGUUACAGAAGUGCUACAAGAAGACAACUGUAGUGUUUCUCUGGUGGUGGUGGCCUCAAUGUUGGCUCUGCUGCUGCUGCUCAACUGCACCGGCUGUGUCCUCUACUACACACAGAGGAGACAUGCAAAACGGAGCUCAGAAGAUGCCUUCAGGUUGGACCAAUCAGGCAGAGGCACAGACUUGGUUGCUGAGGCAACAGAGGGAAGUGUAAAUCUGGGAUACUCUUGUGGGGGCUCCACAGAUGUAUGCUACACCAACACCAUAAUCCUUGAAACUGGUGGCCAGAAUGCAAGUAGCAUGGAAUUUAGUACUUUUACAAAGGUCCCUGAUGUGGUGUCCUCCAGCAGCCAGUCUCUGCACACACACAACCAGGAGUGUCCGUCGGAAGAAAACUCCAAAAACGUCCGCAGAAUCACCACAGUCUGAAUAGCUGUUCUCACUACAAUGUCACCCUGUUUCUGUUUUAUUGAAUAUGAAGAUUUUUACGUUGUCACACUCACACAGAUUCACCAUCUUUUCCUAGUCCUUAACACCAGAUGAACCAUUUACAAAUACUGUAAAUUUAAACUGUUUUAAUGUUUUUGCUUCUUAAUAAACAUGAUAAAAAAGUAAAUUACAGCUUUAACAGUUUAUCAGGAUACAUUUGAACACUUUUGGCUAAUCUUUCAGUGAUUUUCUGCUGGUGCCACAUAAUCACCCUGUAAUCUGAAGUGAGGGUCACUACAGCGAUUAGGAGACAGGCGGGGGGAGGCAGGGUUGACUCCACAAUAACAUUGAUAAUCCAGAAUUAAUCUGAAGCAGACUGUGGGAUUACAGACACAUCAUCCAGUGAACCAGUGAAAAGGUUUCAUAUUUAAAAUAUACAUUCUUCCCACCAAAGCUCAUGUUAACAAUGAUGAUAAUGCUAAUGCUACAUGACCCCCCUCAUCAGGUUAAAAAAAUGCAAAUGCAAAUUAAUUUUUAAAUCCUGGAUUGAGUUUCUCCUCCGUCAUCUUGGAAGCGGGAGGAUAAAGGAUAGAGCAUGUGUGUGUGUGUGUGUGUGUGUGUGUGUUUUCAUAGUUAUAACAUGAUGUCACAACCUAUUACAUGGAUAUUAAUAUCUUGUCUUCCUCAGGAAAUAGUGAGCGUGCUAGUUGUUCUGAUGGCUAUAGGCUGUUGCUAAAAUUAGCCUUGAAAAAUGUUUCUCUCUUCAUUUCGUGUCAUAUUGGUG
ensembl:lncRNA